AGUGAACGCUGGCGGUAGGCCUAACACAUGCAAGUCGAACGAGUGGCAGACGGGUGAGGAAUCCAGCGGAAUCUACUCUGUCGUGGGGUAUCACGUGGGGAAACUUGCGCUCAUACCGCAUACGCUUGUGUGAGCCAAUGUGGUAUUAGCUAGUUGGCGGGGUAAAGGCCCACCAAGGCGACGAUCCGUAGCUGGUCUGAGAGGAUGAUGAGCCACAUGGGAACGGAGACACGGCCCAGACUCCUACGGGAGGCAGCAGUGGGGAAUAUUGGACAAUGGGCGCAAGCCUGAUCCAGCCAUACCGCGUGUGUGAAGAAGGCCGUCGGGUUGUAAAGCCCUUUUGUGGGGAAAGCGGUACCCAAAGAAUAAGCACCGGCUAACUUCGUGCCAGCCGCCGCGGUAAUAC
rnacentral:rRNA from 1 species